rnacentral:tRNA from 1 species
GCAGCUUUAGCUCAAUGGUUAGAGCCCCCGACUCAUAAUCGGUUGGUUAUAGGUUCGAGUCCUAUAAGCUGCACCA